rnacentral:rRNA from 1 species
UACGGAGGGGGCCAGCGUUGUUCGGAAUUACUGGGCGUAAAGGGCGCGUAGGCGGCUGCGCAAGUCGAACGUGAAAUCCCUCGGCUCAACCGGGGAACUGCGUCCGAUACUGCGUGGCUUGAGUCCCGGAGAGGGUAGCGGAAUUCCCAGUGUAGCGGUGAAAUGCGUAGAUAUUGGGAGGAACACCAGUGGCGAAGGCGGCUACCUGGACGGGUACUGACGCUGAGGCGCGAAAGCUAGGGGAGCAAACAGG